rnacentral:rRNA from 1 species
AUUGAACGCUGGCGGCAGGCCUAACACAUGCAAGUCGAACGGUAACAGGAAACAGCUUGCUGUUUCGCUGACGAGUGGCGGACGGGUGAGUAAUGUCUGGGAAACUGCCUGAUGGAGGGGGAUAACUACUGGAAACGGUAGCUAAUACCGCAUAACGUCGCAAGACCAAAGAGGGGGACCCUCGGGCCUCUUGCCAUCGGAUGUGCCCAGAUGGGAUUAGCUUGUUGGGGGGGUAACGGCUCACCAAGGCGACGAUCCCUAGCUGGUGUGAGCGGCCGACCAGCCACACUGGGACUGAGACACGGACCAGACUCCUACGGGAGGCAGCAGUGGGGAAUGUUGCACAAUGGGCGAAAGCCUGAUCCAGCAAUGCCGCGUGUGUGAAGAAGGCCUUCGGGUUGUAAAGCACUUUUGUCCGGAAAGAAAUCCUUGGCCCUAAUACGGUCGGGGGAUGACGGUACCGGAAGAAUAAGCACCGGCUAACUACGUG